AGCAAUAUGAAGGUCAGGCUGAAGACCUUACCCGAUUAGCUGAGAGGUGGUGCAUGGCCGUCGUCAGUUCGUACUGUGAAGCAUCCUGUUAAGUCAGGCAACGAGCGAGACCCACGUCCACAGUUGCCAGCAUACCCUCCGGGGUGAUGGGUACACUGUGGAGACCGCCGCUGCUAAAGCGGAGGAAGGAGUGGGCAACGGUAGGUCAGUAUGCCCCGAAUCUCCCGGGCUACACGCGGGCUACAAUGGUUGGUACAAUGGGCAUCUACCCCGAAAGGGGAAGGAAAUCUCUUAAAGCCAAUCGUAGUUCGGAUUGAGGGCUGCAACUCGCCCUCAUGAAGCUGGAAUCCGUAUUAAUCGCGUUUCAACAGAACGCGGUGAAUACGUCCCUGCUCCUU
rnacentral:rRNA from 1 species